CCGCCGAAGACAGCAGGCGCCGAAAGGCCCAACAUUCCAGCCCGCCGAGGAACAAUCAAACAGAUUUUGAUUUUGUUGAUUUCUUUUCCUCUGUCUUUGGACAGAGGUUUUUUGUUUU
rnacentral:sRNA from 1 species